AUGUACAUUCUUACAUAAUAACAUUAAUGCAUUAGAUCCCAUUAGAACUCCAUAGUUAAGCGCACUCAGGCUAGAGUAGUACUGGGAUGGGUGACCGCCCAGGAAGUCUUAGUAUUUUACAUG
rnacentral:rRNA from 1 species